CCAGUCUGUUACCAAAUCUUGUAGAUUCCACCUUAAAAGCAUAGCCCCUUUUCUUACACAAGAUGUUACUAAGGAGAUUGUCCAUGCUCUAGUAAUCUCUCGCAUGGAUUAUUCUAACUCUCGCCUAAUAGGUCUUCCCACAAGUUUUAUUGCCCUACUACAGUCUGUAAUGAAUGCUGCAGUUACACUGAUUUUCCUCUCCUGUCGCUCC